AAUCAGAAAGAAGAGCUGCCCGGUUCUCGCCUCUGGGUAGCCGCGGUGGGCGCCUGUGGCAGGGGGCUCUUGGGUGUCAGCAGCGCAGGGGCAGUGAGCGUGGAGGGUGCGCAGCGCAGCGCAGCGUAGAGAUUGCCUUGCCACCGCCGCUGCGUUAGGAGGCGGGAUCUGCGCUUGUGCAGAAGCUUGCUCAUUGCUUUACUUUUGCAGCCCGGGGCAGGGACAUUAUGCCGAAGAGAAAGUCUCCAGAGGCUG